rnacentral:rRNA from 1 species
AUGGUGCCACCGUCGCUCCACCAUGCGUGCGCGUGGCCAGGCUACCUGCAGCGCGAGCCCUCGGCCAAAUCCCACUCGCCGCAGCCGGCCAUCCCACGCGCAUCCGACGCCGCGUCCCUUGCACGUUGCUGUCCAGCUACGGUCGCGGCCCUCCGUAGGACAUUGCUCUGGCUACUGCUUCAGCAGUCCAAGUGCCCCACCUGUGUCCGUCCGUGCUCCUUCGUGCUGGAACUUGUACGGGCAGCGAUGCAUGCAUCUGAAGAUUGGGCUGAUGCUUCUUCAGCAAUCGCUAUGACAAGCAGCCACUUCAUGCACCAAUCUAUCUCUAUGUCCCUUCGCUUGUAG